AAUUCGCUUACGAAAAUUUUAUAAAAAGAUAUUCCGGUUCGGCAAAAAGAAACAAAAACAGAUACACAGCAAAAGAUAGUAAACAGAAUCGUAUUUCAUUUCUGAUCAUGUUUAGUUGGAUUUUUUUCGGCGUAUUUGUAGUGUCGGUGCUGUUUGGCGCCGAAUCGGAGCCUCUGAUGCGAAAGUAAUUUCAUUCGACAUCAAACCGUCAGAGAAUUUUAAUCGUUUUCUACACAAAGUUGAAUGUGAAAAGAGAGAAAUAGCGCACAGUGUGUAUUUCAUACAGAUUGAUUCAAUAAAAGGGAAUGAAGUUUAACUAAAAGUUCGAUCUAAGAAAAUAUCAAGUGAUCACGACCACAAUGCCAUCUCAAAGCUGUGAUGAAGUACUCCUGAUUGAAUCGGAUGACACAGAACCAAUCACACUUGAAAGAUUAAUACGUAAUUUACCAUCAACAAAAUCAACCCAGUCAUUACAUAGACAAGAACGAGAGUUAUAUCAUUAUGUAGUUUGUUGUUAUGGCAUUAA